UACGUAGGUGGCAAGCGUUGUCCGGAAUUACUGGGUGUAAAGGGCGUGUAGACGGGGAUGCAAGUCAGAUGUGAAAUUCCAGGGCUCAACCCUGGCGCUGCAUCUGAAACUGUGUCUCUUGAGUGCUGGAGGGGAAAGCGGAAUUCCUAGUGUAGCGGUGAAAUGCGUAGAUAUUAGGAGGAACACCAGUGGCGAAGGCGGCUUUCUGGACAGUAACUGACGUUGAGGCGCGAAAGCGUGGGGAGCAAACAGG
rnacentral:rRNA from 1 species